GAUUGUAAAAGUUCAUCAACGAGCUCAGAGUGGCACCCUCCGUUGGUGGCUCUGUCUUGUUAUAGUGCGACAAUACUAGAGCCAUUGCUCAAGCUAAGGAGCUGAGAUCACAUCAGCGCACCAAAUAUAUUCUUUGCCGCUAUCACCUUAUUUCGGAGAUCAUGGAUUGAGGUGACAUCGACCUUCAGAAGAUUGAUAAGGAGAACUUGACCGACCCAUUUACUA
rnacentral:lncRNA from 1 species